rnacentral:misc_RNA from 1 species
GAUGAAGAACGUAGCGAAAUGCGAUAAGUAGUGUGAAUUGCAGAAUUCAGUGAAUCAUCGAAUCUUUGAACGCACAUUGCGCCCUUUGGUAUUCCAAAGGGCAUGCCUGUUCGAGCGUCAUUUGUACCCUCAAGCUUUGCUUGGUGUUGAGCGUCUUGUCUCUAGCUUUGCUGGAGACUCGCCUUAAAGUAAUUGGCAGCCGGCCUACUGGUUUCGGAGCGCAGCACAAGUCGCACUCUCUAUCAGCAAAGGUCUAGCAUCCAUUAAGCCUUUUUUUUCAACUUUUGACCUCGGAUCAGGUAGGGAUACCCGCUGAACUUAAGCAUAUCAAUAAGCCGAGGA